UACGAAGGGGGCUAGCGUUGCUCGGAAUCACUGGGCGUAAAGGGUGCGUAGGCGGGUCUUUAAGUCAGGGGUGAAAUCCUGGAGCUCAACUCCAGAACUGCCUUUGAUACUGAGGAUCUUGAGUAUGUGAGAGGUGAGUGGAACUGCGAGUGUAGAGGUGAAAUUCGUAGAUAUUCGCAAGAACACCAGUGGCGAAGGCGGCUCACUGGCCCAUUACUGACGCUGAGGCACGAAAGCGUGGGGAGCAAACAGG
rnacentral:rRNA from 1 species